UGGAAGAUGGAGAGAUUGAUGGGAA
rnacentral:piRNA from 1 species